rnacentral:lncRNA from 1 species
CUUGGGAUGCUGAAGGCCUCUUCCUCACGGACGCCAGCGUCUUUCCCACACCCACUGGUCUCAACCCCAUGGUCACUAUCCAGUCCAUCGCCUACUGCACUGCACAGAACGUUGUGGAGCAUGUCAAGUCGUCCAAGUGAAAGAGCAGAGCUCUAAGCUCUAAGCAAAAUCAUACCAGAGUUUGUAUUGUUUGUGAAGUACUGUGAUGGAAUAAGAACAGCGACGUAUGCCUGUUUUACGAGAGGAGAAAGAAGAUUUAGAUUCUUCGUCCCAGCAAGAGACAAACAGCUGCCAAGGAAAGAUCAGCCACAAAACUGGCUUUGUCAAUAUUGCUCUAGAGACAAACAACUCCACCAAGAGAAAAAGAAAUGCGUCCUAGUUGGAUAGAGAUGUCAGAGACUUACUUGGAUAAGGCAUCAGGACUGCAGCAUCGUCCACAAAGCCAGUCUUUUGAGGACAAAAUAAGUAUUGCCCCACACUGGAAAACCAAGAAGGAAGCAGAUCCCUGCUGGAAGGACAGGGACAUCGAGAGAAAAUGUGAGGUAGCCGGAGGUCGCUUUCCAUCCACCCUAAUAAAAUCCCAAGAACCCUAAAAAGCAGCUAUUUGCAAAUUAGUGUAGACUUUACAAUAAGUAAAUGAUUUUAACUCCAACACAAAAAGAAGUAUAAAAUUUGAGCUAAAAGAAAUUCCCUAGGGGUAAAUAUCAGAUUUUCAAUCAUGUGGAAAAUGGGGCAAAAUGUUUCUAGACAGUAGACAGGGCCCCAUAGCUAACUGUUUAUGAGUAAAGAUCCCUGGGCCGUGGAUUCCUUUAGCACGUUCUCCCUCCUGGAAAUUAUAAUGUUCCUUUAAAUCUUUUUGAGUAUGGUUCCCCAAGAACCCUAAAAGCAAGGAGUUUUAGGGUUCUAUGGCGAUGGCAAUGCGGAGGAGCGGCUGCUCGGCCAGGAUAAGGUGGGUGAUGCCGCAUUUCACUCCCUCGAGCUUCUGUAGCAGCAGCGCAUCGUCAUCGUCCGGAGAAAUCGCCGCAAGCAGCAGCACGGAGAUCGCAAGCGAUGGAGAAACCGGGAUUACUCCAAAGGCAAGGAGGAGGAGAAGGAGGUCCAAAUCCAAGGCCGACGACAGCUGCGCUGCCAAGCUCACCAUCAACAUCAAGACCGCGAUGCGUGAGUUUCGGCUGGGAGACAUCCCCAACGCCAAGGUGUGUGGGCUGCCCACGGAGAGGUCGCUCUUCACCGUCAUCCAGGGGCCUCACAUCGACAAGAAAUCGCGCGAGCAGUUUGAUAUCCAGACGCGGAAGUGGCGCGUCACCAUCGAUACGGAGACGAGUAAGUUGCGAGAGAAGCUCGAGUUUCUCAAGGAGCACAGGAUUC